UACGUAGGGGGCUAGCGUUGUCCGGAAUCAUUGGGCGUAAAGAGCGUGUAGGCGGUCCGGUAAGUCCGCUGUGAAAGUCGGGGGCUCAACCCUCGAAUGCCAGUGGAUACUGUCGGGCUAGAGUGCGGAAGAGGCGAGUGGAAUUCCUGGUGUAGCGGUGAAAUGCGCAGAUAUCAGGAGGAACACCUAUUGCGAAGGCAGCUCGCUGGGACGUAACUGACGCUGAGACGCGAAAGCGUGGGGAGCAAACAGG
rnacentral:rRNA from 1 species